rnacentral:rRNA from 1 species
AUGAGCAACCUCAUUUGCUUCCCUAUUACAAUGUUCGAACCUAGUAAUGGAAAAACCACAAGCCAAAAAAUAGCAAUCGUCAAACACUGCCACCGCUGUACUUGCCGUCCUUCCGUCCUUCCUCCGUUAUUCAUGGUUUCAAUGACCUCCAAAUUAUCUGAAUUAAUAACGAGGCGAUUGCAUCCUGCCCUUUUAGCAAUUGAUAGUCCAUACCUAAGCGCCAAAGGUUCAGCCAUUAGGACAUCCGUGCACCAAUCAAUUCUUCAGUUCCCCUCUGCAAUAAAUUUUUCUUUAUCAUCCCUCAACACAGUACCCGCCGUGCCCCUAAGCAGGUCAUGA